rnacentral:tmRNA from 1 species
GGGGUCGACCGGUAUCGAUGGGAGAUCCUUUCGCACGGAGCAAGCCGAGGCGGUGCCGGGCCUCGUAAAUCCCUGGCACGGAGAAGUCAACCGCCAAUCUCUUCUCGAAGGCCAAGAACCUGAUCGCUUCGGCGUUCACGGUUCCGACGCUUUCUUUGGUCACCGCCUAAUACGCCGUGACCCAUCCGCCGCCUCUGCGCCCGUAGGGGGCAUUGCGGGUGUCAUAUCUUCGGGCUUGGUUUGGGAGGGCGCCGCCGUCUCCCAUCCGACACUGGCCUGCGGCACGCGAUGACGGGUUUCGUCCCGUCUUCACCGUCGUCGCGCAACCAACGGGACUGAGCUUGGAUCCCCGGGACGGGAGGCCUUACCAGACGGGGGUUCGAUUCCCCCCGACUCCACCA